UGUCUGGGCAAGCACAUGGCAAGGGGAAACCGCAUGGUCUGGCAUUUUGCCUGCCAACACGCAAAUACCAGGUGGUGCCAAACCCAGCGUGUCCUGCCAGACGCAUGAUAGCUGCAGGACCCAACGCAGUGCUUGGUGUGCAAAGAGAAGA